rnacentral:rRNA from 1 species
AUGGAAGGAUAUACGUGGAUCGGGAGUUUGCAGCUAGGAGACUAUAGCUAUUCCCAUUUCAGGGAGAUCGAUCUUGCCACGCGUUAUGUUAUAUCAAUGUACUUUGCCGUCGUCACCAUGACAACUGUUGGUUACGGUGACAUUCAUGCUGUAAAUGUUAGGGAAAUGAUAUUUGUCAUGAUUUAUGUUUCCUUUGAUAUGGUUCUUGGAGCUUACCUUAUCGGUAACAUGACUGCAAUGAUUGUGAAAGGCUCGGCAACCGAGCGAUUCAGGGAUAAAAUGAAAGAAGUUAUCAGGUAUAUGAACAGAAAUAGACUUGGAAAGGACAUCAGAGAGCAGAUCAAGGGACAUUUGAGGUUGCAGUAUGAGAGCAGCUGCACUGAAGCCUCUGUACUUCGGGAUAUUCCUGUUUCUAUUCGUGCAAAGAUUUCGCAAACACUGUACAUGCCAUACAUUGAAAAGACACCAUUGUUCAAAGGAUGUUCGGAAGAAUUCCUUCAACAGAUUGUGAUUAGGCUGCAAGAGGAGUUCUUCUUACCAGAAGAAGUUAUUUUGGAGCAAGGGAGUGCGGUUGACCAGUUAUACUUUGUCUGUCAGGGUGCACUGGAAGGUGCUGCCGUUGGUGAAGAUGGUCAAGAGACUAUUCUAAUGUUGGAGCAAGGGAAUUCUUUUGGAGAAAUUGCUAUUCUCUGCAAUAUUCCACAGCCCUACACUGUUCGUGUUUGCGAACUUUGCAGGCUCUUACGGUUGGAUAAAGAGUCCUUCGCACACAUAUUGGAGAUUUAUUUCACUGAUGGAAGAAAACUUUUGAGCAAUCUUACCGAGAGCAAUGAAUACGGCAAACGGGUUAAACACAUAGAAUCAGAUAUCACUUUCCAUAUAGGGAAGCAAGAGGAAGAGCUUACCUUAAGAGUUAAUAACGCCGCUUUUUAUGGCGACCUUCAUCAGUUGACUGGCUUAAUCCGAGCUGGAGCCAAUCCAAAGAACAGUGAUUACGAUGGGCGGUCUCCUUUGCAUCUUGCAGCUUCCAGAGGGUAUGAAGAUGUUGUGCAGUUCCUUAUCCAUCAAGGGGCUGAUAUCAAUCUGACCGAUAAAUUUGGGAACACGCCCUUACUAGAGGCGGUGAGGCAGGGGCAUGAUAGAGUGGCCACAUUACUCUUCAGCAAAGGAGCCAAGCUGAACCUCGAGAAUGCCGGUAGCCAUCUCUGCAUAGCAGUAUCGAAGGGAGACUCUGAUUUCAUUCGGGGAGCUCUAGCUUAUGGUGUAGACCCAAACUCGAAAGACUACGACCACCGCAAUCCUCUCCACAUAGCUGCUGCAGAGGGCUUGUAUAUUAUGGCGAAGUUGCUGGUAGAAGCUGGCGCAAGUGUCCUUGCAACAGACAGACGCGGUACUACUCCUCUGGAUGAAGGACACAAGUCCGGGAGUAAGCCAUUUAUAAUGCUGCUUGAACAGGCGAAAGCCGAUGAGCUCUCCAAGUUCCCCACACAAGGCGAAGAAGUGAGAGAUAAGAUGCAUACACGACGAUGCUCCGUGUUUCCUUACUAUCCAUGGGAUACUGAUGCCAAGCGAAAGGAAGGGGUGAUGCUGUGGAUUCCUCACACUAUCAACGAACUCAUCAGGUCAGCCCAGGAGAAACUGGGUUUGUCCAGCUCAUGCCUGCGCUUGCUCUGUCAGGAUGGCAUGACGGUCCAGGAUGUGGACAUGGUCAAUGACGGGCAGAAGCUCUAUCUGGUUGGAGACAAGGACACGGGUGACAGCGAGUAG